UAUUUUAAAGAGAGUUUGAUCCUGGCUCAGGACGAACGCUGGCGGCGUGCCUAAUACAUGCAAGUCGAACGAACGGAGGAAGAGCUUGCUCUUCCAAAGUUAGUGGCGGACGGGUGAGGAACACGUGGGCAACCUGCCUGUAAGUUGGGGAUAACUCCGGGAAACCGGGGCUAAUACCGAAUGAUAGAAUGGGGCGGAUGGCACGGUUUUGAAAGAUGGGUUCGGCUAUCGCUUACAGAUGGGCCC
rnacentral:rRNA from 1 species